UACGUAGGGUGCAGGCGUUAAUCGGAAUUACUGGGCGUAAGGCGUGCGCAGGCGGUUUGCUAAGACAGGUGUGAAAUCCCCGGGCUUAACCUGGGAACUGCGCUUGUUACUGGCAAGCUAGAGUGUGGCAGAGGGGGGUGGAAUUCCAGGUGUAGCAGUGAAAUGCGUAGAGAUCUGGAGGAACACCGAUGGCGAAGGCAGCCCCCUGGGCUAACACUGACGCUCAUGCACGAAAGCGUGGGGAGCAAACAGG
rnacentral:rRNA from 1 species